rnacentral:rRNA from 1 species
AUGGACGAAGAAACGACAUUCGGGAGGGAUGAGAAUGAUACUGAUAAGGUGACUAAGACUGAUAACGAUAAUUUUAACGAAGAUGAUGACAACAGCGACAACGAUUCUGUCUCGUCAUAUGAUAUCUUACCUCCGGAGGAUUUUGAUAAUAAUGAACAUGGCGCAAAUAGUGAAAACGAAGAUGUGGAUGUUGACAAUGUGCAAAAUAGUUGGCAGGAAUCAUUCGCAGAUAACUUGAGCCAGGAGGAGUCGGAUGGUCCUAGCGGUGAUCACGAUGAGGGAGAGAUCGACAUUGAGGAGGCUCGAAGGCAGCAGAAGAUGCUGGAGACACAUUGGAAGAUCAUGGCUAUGACCUUUCGGUCGCAAGGGGAUGCAUACAUAUUCUACAAAAAUCACGCCAAAGAGCACGGGUUUAGCAUCAGGAAACAGAAGGUGAAACAAGGUGCUUCAGGAAUGAUACGGUACCGGCGGUUUCUUUGCUCCAGGGCAGGGAGAAGGCAGAGCAGGUUCAUAACCAUGGAGGGCCGCAAGCGCAGGCAGGCUUAG